rnacentral:rRNA from 1 species
UACGGAGGGAGCUAGCGUUGUUCGGAAUUACUGGGCGUAAAGCGUGCGUAGGCGGUUAUUCAAGUCAGAGGUGAAAGCCCGGGGCUCAACCCCGGAACGGCCUUUGAAACUAGGUAACUAGAAUCUUGGAGAGGUUAGUGGAAUUCCGAGUGUAGAGGUGAAAUUCGUAGAUAUUCGGAAGAACACCAGUGGCGAAGGCGACUAACUGGACAAGUAUUGACGCUGAUGAGCGAAAGCCAGGGGAGCAAACGGG